rnacentral:rRNA from 1 species
GAUUGAGUUUGAUCCUGGCUCAAGACGAACGCUGGCGGCGUGCCUAACACAUGCAAGUCGAACGGAGAUACGCGCUGAAUGGAUGGAGCUUGCUUUUGAAAUUCUUGUGUAUCUUAGUGGCGGACGGGUGAGUAACGCGUGAGCAACCUGCCUUUCAGAGGGGGAUAACGUUUGGAAACGAACGCUAAUACCGCAUGAGACCACAGUACUGCAUAGUACAGUGGCCAAAGGAGCAAUCCGCUGAAAGAUGGGCUCGCGUCCGAUUAGAUAGUUGGCGGGGUAACGGCCCACCAAGUCGACGAUCGGUAGCCGGACUGAGAGGUUGAACGGCCACAUUGGGACUGAGACACGGCCCAGACUCCUACGGGAGGCAGCAGUGAGGGAUAUUGGUCAAUGGGGGAAACCCUGAACCAGCAACGCCGCGUGAGGGAAGACGGUUUUCGGAUUGUAAACCUCUGUCCUCUGUGAAGAUAAUGACGGUAGCAGAGGAGGAAGCUCCGGCUAACUACGUGCCAGCAGCCGCGGUAAUACGUANGGAGCGAGCGUUGUCCGGAUUUACUGGGUGUAAAGGGUGCGUANGCGGCCCUGCAAGUCAGAAGC